rnacentral:snRNA from 1 species
GAAUGUGAGGGCGAUCUGGCUGUGACAUCUGUCACUCCACUGAUCGCCAGGGGUAAUUGCGCUGAUCUGCUUGGCUAGGUGGGUGUCUACUUCCUCCCUCAUCGCUCCCAGCGCAUCCCUUCCAAAGCUGCACGCUGGGUUAAAGAGGAUAACCAUCCCUGAUAGAGGAGGACCGGUCUUGGGUCAAGGUCAAGGGUAUAUAAGUAGCUGUGCUCCCCUGCUAGAACUUCCAAACAAGCCCUCAAAAGAAAAUAAAACUGUAAACAAAUAUUGAACUCUAGUUAAUAAUAUGCCCACUGAAGUGUUUAGAAGUAUACCAGGCGUCUGCAAUCGACUUUAAAAU